UGUCUAUCUGCAAGUCGAGCGAGACUCUUCGGAGUCUAGCGGCGGACGGGUGAGUAACACGUGGGCAACCUGCCUGUAAGACUGGGAUAACACCGGGAAACCGGUGCUAAUACCGGAUAAUCCUUUUCCUCUCAUGAGGAAAAGCUGAAAGUCGGUUUCGGCUGACACUUACAGAUGGGCCCGCGGCGCAUUAGCUAGUUGGUGAGGUAACGGCUCACCAAGGCGACGAUGCGUAGCCGACCUGAGAGGGUGAUCGGCCACACUGGGACUGAGACACGGCCCAGACUCCUACGGGAGGCAGCAGUAGGGAAUCUUCCACAAUGGACGAAAGUCUGAUGGAGCAACGCCGCGUGAGCGAUGAAGGCCUUCGGGUCGUAAAGCUCUGUUGUUAGGGAAGAACAAGUACCGGAGUAACUGCCGGUACCUUGACGGUACCUAACCAGAAAGCCACGGCUAACUACGUGCCAGCAGCCGCGGUAAUACGUAGGUGGCAAGCGUUGUCCGGAAUUAUUGGGCGUAAAGCGCGCGCAGGCGGUCCUUUAAGUCUGAUGUGAAAGCCCACGGCUCAACCGUGGAGGGUCAUUGGAAACUGGGGGACUUGAGUGCAGAAGAGGAAAGCGGAAUUCCACGUGUAGCGGUGAAAUGCGUAGAGAUGUGGAGGAACACCAGUGGCGAAGGCGGCUUUCUGGUCUGUAACUGACGCUGAGGCGCGAAAGCGUGGGGAGCAAACAGGAUUAGAUACCCUGGUAGUCCACGCCGUAAACGAUGAGUGCUAAGUGUUAGAGGGUUUCCGCCCUUUAGUGCUGCAGCUAACGCAUUAAGCACUCCGCCUGGGGAGUACGGCCGCAAGGCUGAAACUCAAAGGAAUUGACGGGGGCCCGCACAAGCGGUGGAGCAUGUGGGUUUAAUUCGAAGCAACGCGAAGAACCUUACCAGGUCUUGACAUCCUCUGACACUCCUAGAGAUAGGACGUUCCCCUUCGGGGGACAGAGUGACAGGUGGUGCAUGGAUGUCGUCAGCUCGUGUCGUGAGAUGUUGGGUUUAG
rnacentral:rRNA from 2 species